ACUCCUACGGGAGGCAGCAGUGGGGAAUAUUGGACAAUGGGGAAAACCCUGAUCCAGCCAUGCCGCGUGUGUGAAGAAGGCCUUCGGGUUGUAAAGCACUUUCAGUGGGGAGGAAAGGUUACAGGUUAAUACCCUGUAGCUGUGACGUUACCCACAGAAGAAGCACCGGCUAACUCCGUGCCAGCAGCCGCGGUAAUACGGAGGGUGCAAGCGUUAAUCGGAAUUACUGGGCGUAAAGCGUGCGCAGGCGGUCUGUUAAGCGAGAUGUGAAAGCCCCGGGCUCAACCUGGGAACUGCAUUUCGAACUGGCAGACUAGAGUCUUGUAGAGGGGGUAGGAAUUCUAGUGUAGCGGUGAAAGUGC
rnacentral:rRNA from 1 species